UCCAAGCAUUGGAAAAGCUCACCACGUUUGAACUCAAAGAAUUACAGCGACGACAAGAUGAGCAGGAAAGACUGCGACGAACCGGUUCACCGCGCACCUCAACUCCAACUCGAUCACCGGAAAAGUUGGAAACUACUUUUCCAGCCGAAAGUGGUGGCCGAACUGAAACCACUUUGGGCGUGGACGAAGAAAGGCGCAGGCAACUGCAUUCUUCAGAAAGUCCCGGUUGGCGUAUAAGUUUGUCUCGAAGCAAAUAUUUUGAUGCAAAUGAUUCCGUCGGAACGGAAAGCGCCGAAGGUUUUGAAGGUCAUUUGAUCCGAAAGCAUACUUGGGAAACGUUGGAUAGAAAAGCGUCCAUUCGCUCUUGGGACAAAUUGUACUGUGUAAUUCGUGGAAGUCAGCUUGAAUUUUACAAAGACCACAAGCACCGAGAGGAUGGGGAACUUUAUCGUGGUGAAACGCCUAUCAAUUUGGUCGGUUGGAACGUGGAAAUUGCUUCAUCGUACACCAAGCGACGCAACGUGCUCUCUUUGAGAUCCCCAGCCGGUUUUGAAUACUUGCUGCAAGCUAGGGAUGAGGACGAUAUGCUGCGAUGGUUGCAUCAACUGAGAACUGCAGUGGGCAUUUUGGAAACGUCGACGAGUAGCAGUGGCAAAGCAUCUACACUGCCGGCAGCGCAGCAGCCGUCUGCGAAAAAGCGUUUCUUCGGAACGUUGAAGAAGAAACAAGCUUUAUAAAAAAGAAUAUAAUAACCCAGCUGAACGACAAUUCUGAUUUUACAUUUUUGAUCAUGUCUUUUUCAAAAAAAAAGUAUACAUCUAUUAUUAUACAUAUACGCAUCAUUUUUGUGCAUUUAAUUUUUCUGAAUCCGUGAAAGUUUCCAAACAACAGCACAAUAUUCAUUCUUCCUCUUUUUUCAUCAAUUAUAUUUUAUUAUUCGUUAUUCCUGUCUACCGUUUUCUUGCUAAUUAUUAUUAUUAUUAUAAAAUAGCAUAAUAUUUUUUUUUGUUCAGUUUAGUUUUUUUUUGAAAAUGAACAUUUUUCUUAUUUAAAUAAAUAAUGUGACAUGAUUUUGCUGCUUUUCAUGACGGAUGAUAGACUCAACAAUUUUCACUGGUAGGAGAAGGUAAAUGCGCUGUUGAACGUUGCUGACCCAUAGGAUUAGAAUUCGACUCGUCUGAACUAUCCUCGUUGGCUAGUAUCAAAUCAUCCAUAUCAAUAAGCAAGUCUUGCAUCUGAGUUAGACGAAGAAGAGUCCAUGUUUUCUUCCAUUGCCAUUGCGAUACAUCGACGCAGUCUACCUUCUUUUUCGCUGCAUGUUAUGUAAUCGUUGUCUGACCAGCUUCCACAAACUUCAACUGAUAAUUCCGGUGUUAAAUCGAAGCUUCCUGCACUGCUAGCCUCGACUACAACAGGCACGGCAUUGACAAACUGUCGAUUUGGCACUGGCAUAGGCUGACUUCGAUCCGAACUUUGAACAGCAGAUAACGGCAGUUCCAAGGAGGCGGACUGGAACGGAUCCGUAACUUCGGAACAAGGAUUGGCUCUAAGGGCUGGGCCGAUCGGGCUGAGGUUUCAAGCGUGCAGUGUAUGCUUGGCUGAGUUGUGUUGAGGACUUGUUCACUUGCCGCCGUUUGUUCGGUUGGUCUAGUGUAUUCGAGUCUGAAGCAGAGCUGGCCGACAGACCGGCACGUGCAGAACCUGAGCUGCGCGGCUGUCCGUUUACGUGUACAGACCGUUUCGGUCGGCAUUCAACAGCCAACUUAGAACUGGCACGGACACAAGGAAUCUGACUGUAUAAUUAAAACAAAGCAUUGCGAUGGCCGAUGAUCGGUGAUGACGCAAUGUGAUUUCUGCCCAGUGCUCUGAAUGUCAAAGUGAAGAAAUUCAAUCAAGCGCGGGUAAACGGCGGGAGUAACUAUGACUCUCUUAAGGUAGCCAAAUGCCUCGUCAUCUAAUUAGUGACGCGUAUGAAUGGAUCAACAAGAUUCCUUCUGUCCCUAUCUACUAUCUAGCGAAACCACAGCCAAGGGAACGGGCUUGGCAAAAUCAGCGGGGAAAGAAGACCCUGUUGAGCUUGACUCUAGUCUGACUCUGUGAAGAGACAUGAAAGGUGUAGCAUAGGUGGGAGAUUGUCAAAUUGCCAUCGUUCGCGCGGUGGUCCGGUGAUCGCCAAUGAAAUACCACUACUUUGAUCGUUUCUUUACUUAUUCGGUAAAGCGAAAAAAUUGUGGCCAAUUUGGCGGUUUAUGUCGCUGUUGGUCAUUGUUUUCAUGUUAGAUUGAAGCUUUGUUUACAGCCGUCGCUUUGUGUCGCCAUUUGACGCAUUGUUGUACUGGGUUAUCCCGGUGUGUGGUGUAGUCAGUAUGGAUGAUCGGCGAUAGGUUUGAAGUGAUUCGCUCCGGAAACAGUGUCAGACGGGGAGUUUGACUGGGGCGGUACAUCUGUUAAACGAUAACGCAGGUGUCCUAAGGUAAGCUCAGCGAGGACAGAAACCUCGCUUAGAGUAAACGGGCACAAGCUUACUUGAUUUUGAUUUCCAGUACGAAUAGAAACCGCGAAAGCGUGGCCUAUCGAUCCUUUUGAUUGUGUAGAUUUCAUGCAAGAGGUGUCAGAAAAGUUACCACAGGGAUAACUGGCUUGUGGCAGCCAAGCGUCCAUAGCGACGUUGCUUUUUGAUCCUUCGAUGUCGGCUCUUCCUAUCAUUGCGAAGCAGAAUUCGCCAAGCGUUGGAUCGUUCACCCACCAAUAGGGAACGUGAGCUGGGUUUAGACCGUCGUGAGACAGGUUAGUUUUACCCUACUGAUGACAAGUCGUUGCGAUAGUAAUCCUGCUCAGUACGAGAGGAACCGCGGGAUCAGACAUUUGGUUCAUGCGCUCGGCUGAAAGGCCGGUGGCGCGAAGCUAGCAUCUGCAAGAUUAUGACUGAACGCCUCUAAGUCAGAAUCUUUUCUAGUCAUUGGCAACGAUAAGUUGCGUCCAGACUCGAUGCGAGGAAACGAUUAGGCUUUGCUAUACGGCGAAGCCAUUAUCAGACCACGGUAGCAGGCAGUAUGGGAUUGUUACGAAAAAGCAAUUUUUUGAAGUCAGUUGAAUUCAAUCAAACUGCUAACAAUUCCACUGCGAAUGACUCCAUUCGAAUCAAU
rnacentral:rRNA from 1 species